rnacentral:rRNA from 1 species
UGGGGAAUAUUGCACAAUGGGCGAAAGCCUGAUGCAGCGACGCCGCGUGAGCGAAGAAGUAUUUCGGUAUGUAAAGCUCUAUCAGCAGGGAAGAUAAUGACGGUACCUGACUAAGAAGCACCGGCUAAAUACGUGCCAGCAGCCGCGGUAAUACGUAUGGUGCAAGCGUUAUCCGGAUUUACUGGGUGUAAAGGGAGCGUAGGCGGUUUUACAAGUCUGAUGUGAAAGCCCGCAGCUCAACUGCGGUAUUGCAUUGGAAACUGUAGAACUAGAGUGUCGGAGGGGUAAGUGGAAUUCCUAGUGUAGCGGUGAAAUGCGUAGAUAUUAGGAGGAACACCAGUGGCGAAGGCGGCUUACUGGACGAUUACUGACGCUGAGGCUCGAAAGCGUGGGGAGCAAACAGG